rnacentral:rRNA from 1 species
UGGGGAAUAUUGCACAAUGGGCGCAAGCCUGAUGCAGCCAUGCCGCGUGUGUGAAGAAGGCCUUCGGGUUGUAAAGCACUUUCAGCGGGGAGGAAGGCGUUAAGGUUAAUAACCUUGGCAAUUGACGUUACCGACAGAAGAAGCACCGGCUAACUCCGUGCCAGCAGCCGCGGUAAUACGGAGGGUGCAAGCGUUAAUCGGAAUUACUGGGCGUAAAGCGCACGCAGGCGGUUGAUUGAGUCAGAUGUGAAAUCCCCGGGCUUAACCCGGGAAUUGCAUCUGAUACUGGUCAGCUAGAGUCUUGUAGAGGGGGGUAGAAUUCCAUGUGUAGCGGUGAAAUGCGUAGGGAUGUAGAGGAAUACCGGUGGCGAAGGCGGCCCCCUGGACAAAGACUGACGCUCAGGUGCGAAAGCGUGGGGAGCAAACAGG